rnacentral:lncRNA from 10 species
UAACACACCCACUAUGCGCAGGCACUGGUUAGCACUGCUUAGGCAGACUGUGGCUUAGGCUUGAAUACUGCAAUGGAUCCUGAAGGUGCUGCAGGCUGUAAACUGACUGCCCUCCGUUUGGCACAUUCUCUCUAGAAGUAAGAUCUGAGAGGAGCUCCAUCAUGGCUGCCACAGAGACUCGGAGAAGUGAGAAGAGCUAGGCAGCUUCCUCUUUAUCCAAAGGAUGCCCUUCUACUAGAAUUGGUCCGAUGUUUUCCUCAUGGUGAGACUGGAGUUAUGGGUUUUGAAGAGGAAGAUUACAGAGGAGAUUCUCUCCCUUGUUGAUUGGAAAAAGCCAGCUGCCAUGUUGUGAGUAUCCCAUUUAAAAGGGCUAUAUGGCAAGGAACCGAGGGCAGCCUUCAGCUGACAGCCAGCAAGAAACCAAGAUCCUCAGUCUGGUAGCUUGCAAGGCACUGAAUUCUGCCAACAACUGCGUGAGCUUGGAAGUGGAUCCUUCCUCAGUUAAGCCUUGGACAAGACCCAAGCCCUGUUGGACGCUUUAAUUACAGCCUUGCAGAGAACCCAGCUAAGGCAUGUUCAGACCUGAUCCACAGAAACUGUGAGAUAAUCCAUGUGUGUUGUUUUAAGCCUCUAAGUGUGUGGUAAUUUGUUACACAGCACUGGUUAGCUAACACAGAUACCUAGACAGCUGGUAAAGCAUUAUUUCUGGAUGUGUCUGUGAGGGUGUUUCUGGAGGAGAUUGGCAUGUGAGUCAGUGAACUCUGUGGGCAAGAGCUGCCCUCAAUGUAGGUGGGCACCAUCCAAUGUUGUUUUGUUGUAUCUAGGGGCCCAGAUAAAACAAAAAGGCAGAGGAAAGGUGAAUUCACUCUCUCUCUCCUGAAGCUGGGGUACUUUUAUCUCUUGCCCUUGGACAUCAGAACUCCAGGUUCUCUGGCCUUUGGACUCUGGGACUUGCACCAGCUCCCGGCUUCUCAGGACUUCAGCCUCAGAUUGAGAGUCACUCCAUUAACUUUCCUGGUUUAAAAGCCUUUAUACUUGGACUGAGAAACACCAACAGCUUCCCUGGGCUUCCAACUUGCAGAUGACCUAUCACAGGACUUCUCAGCCUCCAUAAUCGCAUGAGCCAAUUCUCCUAAUAAGUCCCCUUUCACAUAUCUAUUUAUCUACAUACGUAUAUCCUACUGGUUCUGUCUUUCUCAGGAACCCUGACCAAUAUAGUAUGUAUCUCUAAAAGAUAAGGACAUCAAAAAAUAUUACCGCGUCUAAAAAUAAAGUGAUUUCUUAACGUCAUGAAAUAUCCAAUUGCUCUCCAAAUUUUCACAAUUACAAAAGUCCACAUGUUGCAUUUAAUUUUAAUGCCUCUUAAUUCUCCCUUAAUUUUGAGAUUGCCUUUUAAGUAAGGCAGUUUAGCUCCCUAGUUUCACUCUAGCCCAUCCAAGGUGUUUCCAAAAACCUCACCUUCACACUAACCACAUCCAUUAUAAGCUGCUUCUUAAACGAUGAGAGCUCUCACUCUCUAAAAGGAAUUCUAAGCAUACCUCUUAAAGUAAUAACAUAUUAUAUCUCUACUAAGUUUAUAAUCAUAAAGAAUGUGGGUAUUUGCAUUCUCAUUUUACAGAUGGGAAAAUUAGUGUAGGUAACACAUAUAGAGAGGUGAUAAAUAGCAAUGGUUUCCAAGAAUGAUGACGAUUUCAGUGUGAAACAGAGAGUAGCAAUGGCAAGAGAUACAGCUAAGUAAAUGUGGAUGGUGAGGGACCCAUUCUGCCUUGUUAAAAGGUUUGAACCCACCCUAUAGACAAUAAAUCACUCAGUGAAUCACUGAGCAAUUUUAAUUAUGGAAGCAAUGUGAUCAGAUUUAUAUUUAAGGCAAGAGGAUUGGUGGCAAUGUAGAAGGCAAACACAAGUCAGAAAGAGUUAGAAGUAAGAAAAGUGAGUAGUCUGAAGAAAUUGGACACAUAAGAGAUGAGGGGGCUGGAAUGACUAACUAUGCAUCUUAUUCUGAAAUAUGUCUCUUAGGUAAUUGAUUAUUGAUACCCCACAUCCAAAUAGUGGGACAGUUAACUGAGAUGUCAGAGCCAGCCUUUUCAACACUUCUAGAGAGAAAUUUUGCAAAGACACAUCUCUUGUACCUCCAUGGACUUUUAAUACAGAUAUGUUUAUCAUAAGAUAACCUUCUAAAGAGCUCAUGAUAGCAUAUGAUCAAACUCCUUAUUGUACAGUCAGGAGGAAUCAGCCUUGUUGAAGGAAGGGGCUUACCCAAAGUUACAAGUUGGGACAAAAUUUUUGCUUCCAAUUCACUGCUGUUCUUACUAGAACUGUUUUCUCCAGUCUCAUAGAAGUUCUGAGAAACAAUUAGGCCCACACUAUCAUCAACAGGCAAAUAUGUGUGCCUGACCAGACAGACAGAGAGGUAUUUUGAGAGAGGCCAGGAAUGAAACUGGUGAAGAGGCCCAGAGUUUCAAUCCUGUUCUCACUCAAGAUUCAUCAUCAUCAUCAUCUUUACUAUAAGGAAGAGGGCAUUUAAAAGCACAAAUGAGAUUGUUAGUGAUAAAAAGGUACUUAUACACCAGCCAAUUCCAUCCUCCAUUUUGCUGAGGCUCAAAGAGGUACAGUGACUUAUCUUCGGUUAUGUAUGCAACUAUUGCAGAGCUGGAUAUUGGACUUAGGCCUCCUGAAGCCCAGCACUGUGCCUGCAGGAGCAUUCCCAACUCCUGUCUUUCUGCUCAAUACAUGGGGAAGAGACGAACAAUUUAGGCUACUCAAAAUGUGGUGGGCAUUUGGGCUCUGGGGAGAGCUUCAGCAUCUCUUCUCUCUUUUCAUGUUCUCCAACUCCUCAAGCAACAUACACACAUAGCAUAAAGAUCACUAGCCAGCUAUUUUCUGUCUUGAAAAAUUUUUAUGAUAAGAGUUUUCUAAUUAGGGAAAGCCACAGUUCAUACACAAAACACAAAUUACUAGGCUCUUUGUCUUUUUCAGAAGAAGUAUUAAUCCAUAAAUAAAUAUACUCUGUUGCCAAGUCACUACCAUGCUGUAUCACAUGGCCAAAGGAUGCCAAAAGGUAUGAGCUCUUGGUGAAUCCCAGCUAUUGACAGCCAGGUGCUGGACCUUAACCAGAGGCAUUGCUAUAGGUGGUUAAGUAUAUGGGCUCUGGUCAGUGGUGACAAAGUUCCUGGGUUCAAAUCCCAACACCCCCAGUUACUAGUUAUGUGACCUUGGACAAGUUGAUUAAAAUCUCUGUACUUCAACUCCUUUAUUUGUAAUAUGGAAAUGAUUUUUUAAAUUACCUAUCUUCUGGGUCUAUUGCAAAAUUAUCUUAUUUAAUAAUAAGAUAAUCCACUUAAGGCACUAUAUGUGAGUUUUUGCAUGUAGUGAGCACUUGAACCAAUAGAGUAUAUUUCCUUUUGAAUGUAAGAAAUUCACAGAGACAGCUUCUCUAUAGUAAAGGUAAGAAUCAAAACUGAGUUUCUAUAAAUUACUUUGUAUUGCUUAGAGAAAGAAGUCAUGGCAAUAGAUUGAAUAUAUUUUAAUUUAAAGUAGAAAAUUAUAUAGGAAAAAUAGAUAUAUCUUCCAGAGCUCAGUCUCAAAGGCCACAUUUUCUUUUGAGUAUUUUAACCUCCAAAACAUACUUAGUAUGUGGUGAAAUUGCCUACUUCUGGGUUGAGUAAUGUGAGCUAUCAUUACCAUGGUAACAACAAGGCCAAUAACUUGAACUCCAGUCAUAGUAGCUACAAUAAAGGGGACUCAGUUUGGAAAUAAUUAGAAUCCAUCCUUUUUGAGACUGAAAUUCAUUGCCUUUAAGACUCAAUCAACAUUCCUGGUGGUAGUCUGGAAUCAGCUCAAAUCAAGAUACAUCUAUCUUUAAAAAGAAUAUAGGACAAGAAAUCCAAAAUAGGAAAAAAAUCAAAUCAUCUUAUCUUUCUGGUGCAUUUACUAGUCUGAUGAGUCAUAAGAAAAUAAUAACCCAGAGGUUAGAAACAAAGACAUAAGCACAAUUCCUUUCAUUCCAUGGGUAAAAUUGAA